rnacentral:rRNA from 1 species
GACGAACGCUGGCGGCGUGCUUAACACAUGCAAGUCGAGCGAGACCCCGCUUUCGGGUGGGUGUUCUAGCGGCGAACGGGUGAGUAACACGUGGGCAACCUGCCCUCAGCUCUGGGAUAACUCCAAGAAAUUGGGGCUAAUACCGGAUAUGACCGCUGACCGCAUGGUCUGGUGGUGGAAAGAUUUAUCGGCUGGGGAUGGGCCCGCGGCCUAUCAGCUGGUUGGUGGGGUAGUGGCCUACCAAGGCGACGACGGGUAGCCGGCCUGAGAGGGGGACCGGCCACACUGGGAAUGCGACACGGCCCAGACUCCUACGGGAGGCAGCAGUGGGGAAUAUUGCGCAAGGGGCGAAAGCCUGACGCAGCGACGCCGCGUGGGGGAUGACGGCCUUCGGGUUGUAAACCUCUUUCAGCAGGGACGAAGCGAAAGUGACGGUACCUGCAGAAGAAGCACCGGCCAACUACGUGCCAGCAGCCGCCGUAA